rnacentral:rRNA from 1 species
GUGGGGAAUUUUGGACAAUGGGCGCAAGCCUGAUCCAGCCAUGCCGCGUGAGUGAAGAAGGCCUUCGGGUUGUAAAGCUCUUUCGCGAGGGAAGAAAAGGUGCGCUCUAACAUAGCGUACUGAUGACGGUACCUUGAGAAGAAGCACCGGCUAACUACGUGCCAGCAGCCGCGGUAAUACGUAGGGUGCGAGCGUUAAUCGGAAUUACUGGGCGUAAAGCGUGCGCAGGCGGUUUUGUAAGACAGGUGUGAAAUCCCCGGGCUUAACCUGGGAACUGCGCUUGUGACUGCAAAGCUAGAGUACGGCAGAGGGGGGUGGAAUUCCACGUGUAGCAGUGAAAUGCGUAGAUAUGUGGAGGAACACCGAUGGCGAAGGCAGCCCCCUGGGCCGAUACUGACGCUCAUGCACGAAAGCGUGGGGAGCAAACAGGAUUAGAAACCCGGGUAGUCC